rnacentral:RNase_P_RNA from 2 species
GGAACCGGUUGGACGGUCGCUAUAUCGCCAUGCGGUAUGGAGGAAAGUCCGGGCUCCAUAGGACAGGGUGCCAGGUAACGCCUGGGGGGCGCGAGUCUACGGCCAGUGCCACAGAAAACAAACCGCCUACGUUCUCGUUGCGAGAACCGGCAAGGGUGAAAAGGUGCGGUAAGAGCGCACCGCGUCUCUGGCAACAGCGACGGCACGGUAAACCCCACCCGGAGCAAGACCAAAUAGAGGAGCACAACGUGUGGUCCGCACGGCUCCUGGGUAGGUCGCUACAGGCGUCUGGUGACAGGCGUCGCAGAUGAAUGAUCGUCCUCGACAGAACCCGGCUUAUAGACCGGUUCCCGCU